UGCGUCAUUUUUUCGUGCCUCCUGCUGAGUCGCUAUCGCAAUGACGCAAUCCGUAUUAUCGAAAAAAAAUAUAUAAUUUGGAGCGGAGUCAGUCGUUCAAUCUAUUUAAAAUAACGUACCAAGGCCUUGAUGCUCAUUUAUCAAUGGACAAGAUGCAGUCUAAAUCAAAAACAUUACUGAUGGUUAUCAAUUGUCAUAUUGAAUGACUAGUUGACAAUAAUAAAGCUAUGUAUUAGCUGAUCAUGGAUUCAUCAAGCCCAGCUGAUAACAAACCAAGUGUACAUCACUGAUAAAUCAUAUGACGCACAAAGCCGAGCUGAAAUUCAGAAAAUUCAUUUCAAUAAAAGUCAAUAGCUUCUGCCAAUCUAGUCAUAAUUAAGCAGAAAAAAAUAUCCAAAGAGUGUUGUAGCGCACCAAUUGAAUCACUUGAUGCAACUACUGAUGAUGUCAACAACAGAUG